GCACAGAACCUUCCAGAACACGCUGCUCAAUCAUGAGCCUCUCACCCCAAGGGGGGCACCUGGGGCCAACCCCCCACUCCUUCCACAAGGCCACUCGCCUCAGGUUUAGUGUGAGCUGCUCAGAGAACCACAGCACACUCUCCACAGUUAAUGAAAGGUGCUCUGACCACUGCAGGAGGAAGAUAGGGGCACAUAGCCUGUGCUCCACACUCAUCCCACCCCCGACCUUCCCUGUCCUGCAGUUUAGUCAUGGAUGACCUGAAAGCAUCAAGACCUGGAUGCCUCCAUGGUGCAAGAUGCAGCCUCAGAUCACGUCACAUUUCCAGCAGCUCAUUAAAAGCACCACCUCAGCAAGGCAGCCCAGGAGGAAUAUGGAGUGUAGGGAGUGCAAGGAAAAGACAAGGAGGGGGUGAAACAAAUG
rnacentral:lncRNA from 1 species